CUCUCUCUCUCUCUCGCUCUCUCUCAGCCCACGGCUUCUCUCCGACCGAUAGAGAGAGAGAGGACGGUUUACUCGGAAACCAUGCCUCUGCAAUCUCUCGCCUCUGCCUCGCCUUCUCUCUCCCGAGAAAAACCCAACCCCCCUCUUCCCUUCCUCUCUCAACGGUCUCCUCUCGCCCCAUGAAACCCUCGAUCUCUCUCCUAUCUAUAAUGGCGAUGAUGGUGAGAAGAUGAUGAUGUGAUCUGGUCCGUUAGUCUCCAUUUUCAUGGCAUCCAAAACCCGGCAACAACCACCAGCUUGUUAGAUGCCUUCAAUCUCAUUCUAGAUGAUGCUUGGAACUUCGUUGUUUUGUUUGAGAGCUACAACAACAUCUACUACAACAAUGCUAAAGAGAAGCUCUUCAAAAAUCAAUUUGUUUUUGGCACCUUCGACGCCAUCGGUUACGAAGUGAAGCACAGAUAUUCAUACUUCAAUUGAAACUUUUAAGAUUAACCUGCGUAGCUGAUCUUUAUGCAACUUUGAUAUGGAUGUCCUGCCCUGGCGAGUAGUUUAUUUUGUCCAUAAUACACAGUGACAGUGAAGAUGUUCUCUGGCAAGCAUGACACAAAAAGAGCUUAAUAUGUUUACCGGUGAGUGCAUGAUUUUGUUUUCAGUUCUUAUCUAAUAAAUUAUUUUGAUUUUUACAACCAAUGUGGCUUGGCUAUUUCCAGCACAAUGAAAUUGGCCUUUCAGUAAUAUUCUACAGAUACAAUGGUAUUCCCUUAUCAACUUUGUUUUUAACAGUAUUUCCAGUCUUCCUUUAGAGUCAUAGAUUCUGCUCAAUUUUUAUCCUUGGAUUCAAGUCUUAGUGUGGGGAAGAAAAUGUGGAUCUUUUCUCUUUUGCUAUGGAACACUUCCUAACAUUCAUGUGCCCGAACAUGCACAAGAGAGGUAUGCACAACCACAUUCAGUCACAGGCAUGCAUGUGCCCGUACAUGCACAAUAGAGGCAUGCACAGCCACAUUCAGCCACAGGCAUGCAUGU